ensembl:lncRNA
UUAACAAUAAUAGCAAAAGUUUUUAUUGUCACACAAACAAGUACAGUGAAAUGCCUUUCUUGCUUGCUCUUAGCAAGAAUGCAUUAAUCAAUAUCAGUAGUACUAUAAAAUAUUUAUAAAAAGUCUUACUUAGAACAAAAAUAAAACAAAAACACAAAAGAAAUUGAAAUAUGAAGAACAAGAGAAAGUAAGCUUUACUGAACAAAAAUAUAAACGCAACACAACAAUUUCACUGAUUUUACUGGAGUUACAGUUCAUAUCAGAAAAUCAUUCAAUUGAAAUCCAUUCAUUAGGCCCUAAUCUAUGGAUUUCACAUGACUGAGCAAGGGUGCAGCCACGGCUGGGCCUGGGAGGGUAUAGGCCCACCCCACUUGGGAGCCAGGCCAACCCACUGAGGAGCCAGGCCCAGCCAAUCCUAAUUAGUAUUUCCCCAUAAAAGUGCUUUUGUACAGACAGAAAUGCUCCUCAGUUUCAUCAGCUGUCCGGUGGCUGGUCUCAGAUGAUCCUUGAGAGGAAUAAGCUUUUUGUGCUUGUGGAACAUUUCUGGGAUCUUUUGUUUCAGCUCAUUAAACAUGGGACCAACACUUUACAUGUUGCGUUUCUAUUUUCUCUUUCAGUAUAUACACGUACAGGGUUAGUUCCAGGGUCAGUUUUCCAGCGUCAUAUUUACAAUGUGCAGGGAUACUGGAGUGGUAGGGUUAGACAUGUUUAGCGGUAAGGUGACAUAGAAUCGGGAUAUAUGGUAAACAGAGUAGCAGCAGCGUAUAUGAUGAUUGUAUGUGAGUGUGUGUGUGUGUGCGUGUACCAUACGUAGAGUCAGUAUGAAUGUGUGUGUGUGAGCAAAUUAAGUGUGUGUGUGUGUGCGUGCGUGCGUGUUUGUGUGUUGAGUGAGUGUGUGUGAGUGAGUGAGUGUGCAAUCAGUGCAAAACCCAAAAAAUGUAAUAGAAGGGUCAAUGCAGAUAGUCGAUGUAUCCAUUUGAUCUAUUUAGCAGUCUUAAGGCUUAGGGAUAGAAACUGUUCAGGAGCCUGUUGGUGUCAGACGUAGCUAGCUCUGGUACCACUUGCCGUGCAGAAGCGAAGAGAACAGUCUAUGGCUUGGGUGGAUGGAGUUUUUAACAAUUUUCCGGUCCUUUAUUUCACACCACCUGAUAUAGAGGUCCUGGAUGGCACGGAGUGCAGCCCCAGUGAUGUACUGGGAUGUCCGUACCACCCUCUGUAGCACCAUGCGAUCGAGGGAGGUGCAGUUGCCAUGCCAAGCAGUUAUGCAGCCAGUCAAGAUGCCCUUAAUGCUGCAACUGUAUAACUUUUUGAGGAUAUGAGGGCACAUACAAAAUCUUAAUAUUUACAUGAAUUCCGAUUAUUUCCAGGAAUACACAACAUCCUGAAAUAUAUGUAAAUGGUAUCUUUGUUAGAAAGAAUAUUAUUGUUCCCUUGACGGAUUGAUGCUGAACGUUAAAAAAAGUCUCAACUUACCCCACUCUCCUUUACACCAAAAGCCCUGAAAGAAGAAAAUGAAUCAGAUUAUCCCCACUCUUCCAUGAGAAGUUAACAUUACCAAGAACUCAGUCCUGAAAGGAAAAGUGUCUUUUAGUAUUUGUUUCAUUAGUUCACUGUUGAAACAGUCCCAAAAUGUUUUUCAUGUCAGCAAUCAAGUUUUCAAGAUAUAGAUCUUUCAAAAUACAGAUACUGUGACACUUUCUGCAUUUUGAAUGUUUUAUCUUGAAAACUGAUGUGCAAAACAUGUUUAACCGUUCUGAACUUGAUGACAGUUCUAAACAUGAUAUGAAGGCAUGGUGUGUGGGUGGAGACUAGAGAAUUAUUGAGGGAACACUGGAGAGCCUCUGUGUAUAACAAGUCCGGUAGAGGAUAUCCUGGAUAGAGGGUUUGGCCCGUGUCCUGAGCCUGUCGCAAAUAAAAAUAAAAAGUAUUAAUAACUCAUCAGAAGGAGCCCCACUUAAGUGCUGGGGAAGUUCUUUAAAUUAAAGACAAAACAAAAUGAACAGUUCAGUUUGUGUGUGCAUGCUCAUGGAUUUGUGUGAGUGUGUGCGAGAGAGAGAGCCGCUGCUGCUACAUGCUGUCUAUUAUCUAUGCAUAGUCACUUUGCCCCUGCCUACAUGUACAAAUUACCUUUAGUAACCUGCACCCCCGCACAUUGACUCAGUACCGGUACACCCUGUAUAUAGCCUCAGUAUUGUUAUUUUACUGUGUUACUUUUUAUUUAUUUAGUAAAUCAUUUCUUACCAUUUCACAGUAAGGUUGUAUUCGAAUGUGACGAAUACAAUUUUAUUUGAGUUUAUUUGAUUUUUGAGAGAGAGAGAGAGAGAGAGAGAGAGAGCGAGAGAGAGAGAGAGAUGGAGAAACCGAAAAAACAAUCCCUUGUCCAUACAAAGACAAAGACUUGGGCAGGCGUUUCAAACACUAAUUGAAUAAAUGAGCCCAGUGACAGUGUGAAAAGACACUGUGAAUGGAGCAGGGAAAGGUGGAUGGCAGUUAUUAUAUUUCCCUCUGGAGACUGGUGUUCCCAGAGGCUGUAAUUGAUUUAGAUGGAUCAGCAGUGGGGUUCCCACAGCCCGCAUCUGUUUGUUCUCCAACAGCAAACCCCAUUGAGCAGACUGGCCCUCUCCACAAACAACAGGGGUGAGAAAACAAAAAUAACUACAAAACCCGGGUGGAAGAGAGCAAAAGGACAUCAUUUGAUUGUUUUCCAGCCCCUCCCCACACUCCCUUAUUUUAAGGACCAGUAGACUUUAUUCUUAGGCCUCUGUUUAUUCUCAGGCCUCUAUUUGAGUCUUGUUUUACUGAGUUUUUACCUACAAUCCCAGUUAUAGCCUGUUAAAGUCUGACAUUUUCGACGUAGCUUUAAUAAAAAAGAAAUAAAGAAAUCUCAGAGCACAGUCAUUUCAAUGCAAAGGCAAACAGGGUCAACUCCCCAGUGAAUGAACAACAUUUUAAGUCACAAUUUGCAUUUGUUUCAUGUAAUAAUUUGUAUGAUAUUGAUUAAAUGAAGCCUGUGGUGCAUUGAUUAUGAAAGAACGGUGUGCAAUGUUGAACCUUCUUUUCCCACUUUGAGGAUAAUACAGUACCACCGACGAGGCCCGCUACCAAGGACUGUGGGCUCUCCUUCUCCGUGGACAACCUGAGUAAGACAUUUAAACGUGUAACCCUCACAGGGCUGCCGGCCCAGACGGCAUCCCUAGCCUCGUACUCAGAGCAUGCGCAGACCAGCUGGCUGGUGUGUUUAUGGACAUAUUCAAUCUCUCCCUAUCCCAGUCUGCUAUCCCCACAUGCUUCAAGAUGGCCACCAUUGUUCCUGUACCCAAGAAGUAAAGGUAACUGAACUAAAUGACUAUCUCUCCGUAGCACUCACUUCUGUCAUCAUGAAGUUCUUUGAGAGACUAGACAAGGAUCAUAUCACUUUACCUGUCACUCUAGACCCACUUCAAUUUGCUUUCCGCCCCAAUAGGUCCACAGACGAUGCAAUCGCCAUCACACUGGACACUGCCCUUUCCCAUCUGGACAAGAGGAAUAUCUAUGAAAGAAUGCUGUUCAUUGACUAUAGCUCAGCAUUCAACACCAUAGUACCCUCCAAGCUCAUCAUUAAGCUUGAGGCCCUGGGUCUCAACACUGGGCAAUUGGGUCCUAGACUUCCUGACGGGCCGCCCCCAGUUGGUGAAGAUAGGAAGCAACAUCUCCACUUUGCUGAUCCUCAACACUGGGGCCCCACAAGGGUGCAUGCUCAGCCCCCUCCUGUACUCCCUGUUCACCCAUGACUGCGAUUGGAGUAUCUGUCCAUUGGACCACUUUAAGCCGUAUACUCCAUAGAGCUGGGCUUUACGGAAGAGUGGCCGGAAAAAAGCCAUUGCUAAAAGAAAAAAAUAAACAAACACGUUUGGUGUUUAAAUCAAAUCAAAUCAAAUGUAUUUAUAUAGCCCUUCGUACAUCAGCUGAUAUCUCAAAGUGCUGUACAGAAACCCAGCCUAAAACCCCAAACAGCAAGCAAUGCAGGUGUAGAAGCACGGUGGCUAGGAAAAACUCCCUAGAAAGGCCAAAACCUAGGAAGAAACCUAGAGAGGAACCAGGCUAUGUGGGGUGGCCAGUCCUCUUCUGGCUGUGCCGGGUGGAGAUUAUGGCCAAGAUGUUCAAAUGUUCAUAAAUGACCAGCAUGGUCGAAUAAUAAUAAGGCAGAACAGUUGAAACUGGAGCAGCAGCACGAUCAGGUGGACUGGGGACAGCAAGGAGUCAUCAUGUCAGGUAGUCCUGGGGCAUGGUCCUAGGGCUCAGGUCCUCCGAGAGAGAGAAAGAAAGAGAGAAGGAGAGAAUUAGAGAACGCACACUUAGAUUCACACAGGACACCGAAUAGGACAGGAGAAGUACUCCAGAUAUAACAAACUGACACUAGCCCCACUGACACAUAAACUACGGCAGCAUAAAUACUGGAGGCUGAGACAGGAGGGGUCAGGAGACACUGUGGCCCCAUCCGAGGACACCCCCGGACAGGGCCAAACAGGAAGGAUAUAACCCCACCCACUUUGCCAAAGCACAGCCCCCACACCACUAGAGGGAUAUCUUCAACCACCAACUUACCAUCCUGAGACAAGGCUGAGUAUAGCCCACAAAGAUCUCUGCCAUGGCACAACCCAAGGGGGGGUGCCAACCCAGACAGGAUGACCACAUCAGUGAAUCAACCCACUCAGGUGACGCACCCCUUCCAGGGACGGCAUGAGAGAGCCCCAGUAAGCCAGUGAAUCAGCCCCUGUAAUAGGGUUAGAGGCAGAGAAUCCCUGUGGAAAGAGGGGAACCGGCCAGGCAGAGACAGCAAGGGCGGUUCGUUGCUCCAGAGCCUUUCCGUUCACCUUCCCACUUUUUAACUAAAGGCAUGAGGGAGACUCCCCAAACAUAUGGAAGAAGGUACUCUGGUCAGAUGAGACUAAAAUGUAGCUUUUUGGCCAUUAAGGAAAGCGCUAUGUCUGACGCAAACACACCUCUCAUCAUCCCGAGAAUACCAUCCCCACAGUGAAGCAUGGUGGUGGCAGCAUCAUGCUGUGGGGAUGUUUUUCAUAGGCAGGGACUGGGAAACUGGUUAGAAUUGAAGGAAUGAUGGAUGGCGUUAAAUACAGGGACAUUCUUGAGGGAAACCUGUUUCAGUCUUCCAGAGAUUUGAGACUGGGACAGAGGUUCACCAUCCAGCAGGACUGCUAAAGCAACACUUGAGUGGUUUAAGAGGAAACCUUUAAAAUGUCUUGGAAUGGCCAAUUGAGAAUCUGUGGUAUGACUUAAAGAGUGCUGUUCACCAGCAGAACCCAUCCAACUUGAAGGAGCUGGAGCAGUUUUGCCUUGAAGAAUACAUGCUCAAGUUUUUUGUUUUUUGUCUUAUUUUUUGUUUGUUUCACAGUAACAAAUAUUUUGCAUCUUCAAAGUGGUAGGCAUGUUGUGUAAAUCAAAUGUGCAACCCCC